rnacentral:rRNA from 1 species
AACGUAGGAGACAAACGUUAUCCGGAGUUACUGGGCGUAAAGAGCGCGCAGGCGGUCGUUCAAGUCGCGUGUGAAAGCCCCCGGCUCAACUGGGGAGGGUCACGCGAUACUGAUCGACUCGAAGGCAGGAGAGGGUAGUGGAAUUCCCGGUGUAGUGGUGAAAUGCGUAGAUAUCGGGAGGAACACCAGUGGCGAAGGCGACUACCUGGCCUGUUCUUGACGCUGAGGCGCGAAAGCUAGGGGAGCAAACGGG